rnacentral:lncRNA from 1 species
CGUAACCAGAGAUUUCGGAGUCGCCGCGUGGACUCUGUGUACAGGCUUACAAAAAGCUGCCCUCUCGGCUGGACUCCCGCGCCAGUGGCCACCCGACGCAUUUUCUCCGUAUUCUUUGACGACAAAGACAAAAGAGGGGAACGCAAGACACAUUCCACGCCAUCGGCUCGCUUCCACCCAGCGCAAAACUUCGCGGGAUUCUGCAGUCAAGAGACCGCAAGAAGACACCCUCUUGCUGAAAAACGCAAAUCUUUCCUUUUCAACAGUUGCGUACGCCGCGUGUGUGUGUGUGUGAUUCCGAUUGAACCCGUGGCUUGUUUUUGUUUUCUCAAUUCUUUCGCAUAAAAAUUGGAAGACAAAGUAGCCUCCAGUGCGAGAAAGUCCGACCGGGUGUUAUCUGCAGUCGGGUUUCGUUAGCGUUAAGCUCUGAAAACGUCUGUUUUUCUUCGGAGAGAAGAAAGACUCUUUUAGCUGAGGUAGCGGAGAAAGAAAGAAAACAGAGAACCCAGAAGGCUGUCCGUUUUUUCAGCGGACUUGUCGAG